rnacentral:rRNA from 1 species
UACGUAGGGUGCGAGCGUUAAUCGGAAUUACUGGGCGUAAAGCGUGCGCAGGCGGUUGUGCAAGACCGAUGUGAAAGCCCCGGGCUCAACCUGGGAACGGCAUUGGUGACUGCACGGCUAGAGUGUGUCAGAGGGGGGUAGAAUUCCACGUGUAGCAGUGAAAUGCGUAGAGAUGUGGAGGAAUACCGAUGGCGAAGGCAAUCCCCUGGACCUGUACUGACGCUCAUGCACGAAAGCGUGGGGAGCAAACAGG